rnacentral:tRNA from 1 species
AGAGGUCUCAAUCUAUACUUUUUAAAAUCUUUCCUUCUUAUCUUCAAAUAUUUAACUUAUUUAACCCAGAAAAGCUCAGUGGUUUUAGGCUUCUGGCUUUAGGGUAUUAAUAGUCCUAUAGCUCAGUUGGUUAGAGCGCUACACUGAUAAUGUAGAGGUCCACAGUUCAAAUCUGUGUAGGACUACACAAUACGCCUUUCUUGGGGGAUUAGCUCAGCUGGCUAGAGCGCCUGCCUUGCACGCAGGAGGUCAACGGUUCGACUCCGUUAUUCUCCACUAACAGUGACCUAUUUAUUGGAAACUGGAUAAGUUCUUUGACAUGUUGUUGAACAAUAAACUAAAAUAUUGUGAUUACUCGUUGUAAUGGUACGUUUACCAUUACAAUUAAUUAU